CGAAAGGCUUACGCCAUUGUGCGUGCCUGUGUGUGUACUCGGACGUCUGCUGCUUCACACGUGUGGGUCUUGUGCCUAUGGACCAGGAUACUUCGCCACGUGGUGCAACGGGAAGCUAGAAUGUCAGCUGCCGACUGACGGCAAUACAGCCGAACCCCUACCGCCACCUUACGGGAUUCGUCUCUUCGACGGUUAUGCAAGUGUGACCCCUGAACACCUAGCACACAACGACUUUUCUCUCCAGACCGUACACCCGGUAUCUGCUCGCUACCCACACCACGUCACUGCGGGCCGUGGCCACGUCCUCUGUGUCCU